GAAGCCAUUUCUUGAGUACGGCUUCUCGAGGGUAAGGGACUGCUGUUCAAGCUGAAGUCGCCUGAUUCACACUCUGAACAGAUACACGUGGAGUGGAAAGACAGACUACUCAUGGCCUAGCGAUGGAAGUUAUAUCAGCGUUCCUGAACUGUGAAACUGUGUAUCUUGUCGAACUAGAGUCAGCAAAAUUUGUCUAGCCUAUUCAACCCUUCAUGGAAGGCGAGUAAUAGUCUUGGCUGCUGGUUCAACCCAACUCCACACUGUAUCAAGCACAUUUCUGUACACAAAACCUGUAUAACUUGAUUUUAUCAUUUAAUUAACUAGCAGUGUGUUGAGCGAUUCCUUGCAAGGUCUUACUUGAGAACUCUAAUCUUGUUUUCAAGUUCCACUAUUUCAUUUGCUUGCUGUUCAGUUAUCCGACGUAACCAUCAGCUUCAGCGUCAGUGACAUUUUCGACAAUCAACAUCUUUACUGCUAGAGGAUCACUAGACCAUAUUCUAAACAUGUCUUGAUCAACUGCACCUGCAAAUGAGGUAAAACAGCCUCUGCUUUCUGAUUUAGAAAUUACAGCUAUGGAAUAGCUAGUGCAUGUGUGUUGUUACUGUAGACAUAACGGUUGCUGGGACUUGUAGGCUGGCAGCUAGUGCUAAUAAACAGACUGUAGUCACUAAGUGUACGUGUAC